CACCUAAUGGCAAGACGAUAUCUCUCACUGCACCACGCUCCUGACCUUUUGUCAUUCGCGGGCCAAUAUUAUGUCUCAGUCGUGUCAUCCGGCAGAAGUCCUGCGUAAAAAUCAAACAUCAAUAUUUACGUGUGUAGCAGACGAUUGUCCGUCUUUGAGUCCGGCCUGUUUACCACCGCUGCACUCUGUGCAUGAACUUUUGUGAGACGAAGUUGGAGGGCACGGGAAACCGAACAGGAGGAAAAAAACAUCUGAUGUUCACCUGUCUUCGUCCAUGUACCCGCUCUGUCCACUGUGUGCAUGCUGUGACAUCAUGGUAUGAGGAGCGGCAGCUGCAAAAAGGUUUCAACCGGGGGCGGGUUUCGAGGCAAAACUGGCACAAGAUGGAAACGUGCGCGUGGACAAACAGCCACGUCUGCGACUGACGUGGCCACCUGCGAUCAUCGAUCAAAAAGAUUUAGAAGGAAUUCAUCACAUGCACCUUCUUCUGCCACCGACCGGUCCAUUUUUAAUGGAGCUGCACGAUUGCGUCGUCCUCUAUAUCUCCGGAGACUCUUUUUCUUUCUCGUGCUGUUGCUUGGGGAAGCCAUUGUGAGUUCAGUGUUUUCGUGUUGGAUGAACGUUGCACCUACUGUAUCCUCUCAAACCCCUUCUCCACUACGUGAAAAGCCUCUGCUGCACUGUGUCUAUACCGGCGUAUCAUGGUGUAGUAGCGUAGCGUUGUUAAAUCUUUUUCAUCAGCGCUGCCCUCUGCUGUCUAAUCGGCUGACCGUCUGAAAUAAACAUUUCUUUUUUUUUAAAGAGGAAAAAAAUAAACGGAAAGCUGAAACAAGAAGCUCGUAAGAAAAGACGAGGACAGGAUGACUAAAGACCGACUAACAAGAAUAUAAUAAUAUGGAAACGUGUUAUUAU